GAUGACUCUCGGCAACGGAUAUCUCGGCUCUUGCAUCGAUGAAGAACGUAGCGAAAUGCGAUACCUGGUGUGAAUUGCAGAAUCCCGUGAACCAUCGAGUCUUUGAACGCAAGUUGCGCCCGAGGCCAUCCGGCCAAGGGCACGCCUGCCUGGGCGUCACGCUU
rnacentral:rRNA from 2 species